UACAGAGGGUGCAAGCGUUGUUCGGAAUUACUGGGCGUAAAGCGCGUGUAGGCGGCGCUGCAAGUCGGGUGUGAAAUCCCGGGGCUCAACCCCGGAACUGCACUCGAAACUGCAGUGCUAGAGUCCUGGAGAGGAGAGUGGAAUUCCCGGUGUAGAGGUGAAAUUCGUAGAUAUCGGGAGGAACACCAGUGGCGAAGGCGGCGCGCUGGACAGUUACUGACGCUGAGGUGCGAAAGCGUGGGGAGCAAACAGG
rnacentral:rRNA from 1 species